AAUAAGUUGAGAAUCAUGCGUGGUAACUCAUGUCUGUAAUCAUAGCAUUCUAGAGACUGAGGCAGGAGGAUUGCAAGUUUCAGGCCAGCCUAGUCUACUUAGUCACACCCUUUAAAAAUGAAAUAAAAGGAAACACCACCGCUGCAAGAAGUUGCUAUAACAGCUCUGCAUUGUAAGCAAGCUUAGGCUUCUGAUUUUUAAAAUUCUGUUUCUCCACCUCCUUUACUUUAAGAAUCCUGGAGUGUCUUUGGUUGUUGAAUUGUACGAGGACAGGCAAAUGCUUUCCUGGUCAUUGCCACACCAGCCCCAUGCACCUCGUGGUUAGAUAACACAAUACCCAAUAACCAGAAGCCUGGAGAUCCAGGAAGAAUGAUUUCUGAGCAUCCCAGAGGAAACUUGUUCAUUUGCGCUGCUGGAACAGUAGAAUGUUCUAUAUCUUCCUCAAUGACAAUUUGGAGAACUUAUAAUUCAGGUUUUAGCUGUGGCAGCCACACAUUCACCGUCACUACAAGUUGUGGAACGUUAACAGAUGCUGUAGCAAACCCUCUCUAUCAGAGCAUUUUCUUUGUAGAUCAUGUUAUUUUUUUUCAGCUGCAAACUGAGAUGUAUGUUAUAAUUGAGUUUAGCAUAUAAUUAAGUUUAACCCUGGAAAACCCUUUUUGCUCUUUGUUGCCUGUGAUACACUAGUAAGAAUCCCUAAUCUAGUAGAGGACUACUGUUACCUCACAAACAGUGGAACUCCUGAAGCGUCCUCACAUGAGAACACUGCCUCCUAGGAACUAGGAGAGUUAAUGUAGCAGGAGACAAAUCUAUGGUGUGAACUGGAAUUUUUGAAUGGUGAGAGAUGCCACCUCUAUUGUUACUCAUUGGUUUCUGGACUAAUAAAUUCUAGUUUGGUAAAUGCAAAAACCAAACACUAUCAUAAAUUUAGUAGAAAUAAAGCAACCUUCAAAGAAUUUGCUAGGCUUGAAUGGUGCUUCCCUGAGUAGGACUUAUUGGAACCUACACCAUUUUACUGUGUUGCUUUAUUACACUAAUUGCUUAUUAAUGUACAAUGAGACAAGCCUUCAGUAGGCCCUACUGUCAUAUGCCCAUUGACACACAUCUUUUGUCACGAAUUGAUUCUCCUGAUGAGAGAUAAUAUUGUUCAGGACAUUAUACCUGCAGGUCAUGUGUUCUUGGUGUGAGAAAAAGGAGGUGUGAUAAUGACAAGUUGCUCACUCCACAGUAUAAGAGAUUUGAGGUAAAGUAUCUGGUGUCAUGUAGUUAGCUUGAUCUUCAAAUGCACUGCCACAUCAGGGAAUUACUUUUCAUUGCUUCUUACCACUUCCAUGAUGGGUAAAAGAAGAACUACUGUGAUGUGAGAAAAUCCUGGCUCUUGGUUCUCUGAAUAGCCUGCACCUAUGAUACCAUAGUUACUUCAUUAAAGACCAUUGUUCUCAAAUUUAGCAUCUAAGGAGGAAGCCUAGCUAACAUUCUUAAAUUGAAGCAAUUUCUCAACUGAGUUACUGAGGGCACCUUCUAAGGCAUGUCUCCUUUUUUGCUUGGUGUAACCAGACACUCAACUUUCAUAUGCCUGCUCAUGUAGGCUAGUCACCUAUUUAUUUUCCAUUUCCAUGGUAUAAUUGUGCUAUUUUUAUUCUCUUACUUCAUCAUCUAUGUCUAGGAAUCAAUAACCAUACUACAUAUUGCCUCCAUGGUCAUGCAGUUGAAUGGA